CUACGGGGCGCAGCAGUGGGGAAUAUUGCACAAUGGGCGAAAGCCUGAUGCAGCAACGCCGCGUGCGGGAUGAAGGCCCUAGGGUUGUAAACCGCUUUCAGCAGGGAAGAAAAUGACGGUACCUGUAGAAGAAGGUGCGGCCAACUACGUGCCAGCAGCCGCGGUGACACGUAGGCACCAAGCGUUGUCCGGAUUUAUUGGGCGUAAAGAGCUCGUAGGCGGUUCAGUAAGUCGGGUGUGAAAACUCUGGGCUCAACCCAGAGACGCCACCCGAUACUGCUGUGACUAGAGUGCGGUAGGGGAGCGGGGAAUUCCUAGUGUAGCGGUGAAAUGCGCAGAUAUUAGGAGGAACACCAGUGGCGAAGGCGCCGCUCUGGGCCGUAACUGACGCUGAGGAGCGAAAGCGUGGGUAGCAAACAGGAUUAGAUACCCGUGUAGUC
rnacentral:rRNA from 1 species